CUUAUUGCGCGGUUGGAAACCAUAUACACACUGUUUUUGUUGGCCAUGGAUAGCGAUAUCCAGGCAAAUUUUAUAAACCCCUUCCAAUUUAUUGGAAAUGUAUUAUUUAAUAUUACUAUUCAUCAAAAAGUUAUAAAUUUUAAAACUUUCAGCAACGGAUCUCUUGGUUCUCGCAUCGAUGAAGAACGCAGCGAAUUGCGAUAAGUAAUAUGAAUUGCAGAUUUUCGUGAAUCAUCGAAUCUUUGAACGCAUAUUGCACUCUUUAGUAUUCUGGAGAGUAUGCCUGUUUGAGCGCCAUUUCUCUCUUAAACCUUUGGUUUAGUAAGAUGGAGCGUGUUGCUUUUGCCAACUGCUCUGAAAUGACUGACGGCAGCCAUCUUAACUAGUUUACCUAGUAAUAGACUGUGAUUUCAAUAUUAGGUUCUACCAACUAUUGAACGAUUGCUCUGUAUUGCUUUGUAUCUAUCUAUUUAACGUGACGCCUUUACAAUUUUAUCAUCAAAAUUGACCUCAAAUCAGGUAGGGAUACCCGCUGAACUUAAGCAUAUCAAUAAGCGGAGGAA
rnacentral:rRNA from 1 species